rnacentral:lncRNA from 1 species
AGUUACCAAAGCAGGUAACAUGUAAAUAACAGUGUAAAAAUUGGGUUGUUUACUUCCGGCGAUGAUUAUUUUCUUAUAUGCAAUGAAAUGUAGUGUGAAAAUUUCACUGUAUCACUGGAAAGGAUUAAACUUUACACAUGCAAAGUAUUUCUUUGGUUGAAAUAAAGGUAAAUACUGUACAAUUUUUUUAAAAGUGCCAAUUUAACAAAGACUAAUAGGGAAAAAUCAAUGGUGGUAUUACACCUAUUUAGGGAAACUACAUAUGCACUCGUGACCUUAUUGUACUUUCAUUUUUAAAAGUUAUUAAUAAACCAGUUCAUACAUUGUAAACAUGGACUAUUCGGAAUGGAUUUAGACACAGAGAGCACGUUUGAGGUAAAAUUGCCUUGAAAUGAGGGUUUACGGGUGUUUUCUAAGUCAAAUGAGUGGACAGACAAAGCUGUAUUUAGUUUACUGUGUUAAAUUUUAAAUUACCCUUACAGAUUUGUUUAUACAACAUGUGAUUUUUUCAGUGUUAACCAUGUUCUGAAGAGCAUUCUGUUGAAAAAUCUCAUAUGUGAAUUGGUCUGCAGAUGACACUUCAGCAUUAAAGUAAGUAUCAACUAUCAUCAUGUUUUUUUGGUUUUUUUUGGCCGCAAAAGUUUACAAUUUGCCAUUGUGCCGUCUACAUUUUGCAUAGACAAUAAAUCAUCUAAACACUUAUUUGCCCUGGAUUUACACACAUCAGAAUCCAGUCUCACAUACUUAAACUUUAUAAUUCUUACCAAUUAUUUUUUGUACCAGCAUUCCAAGGGACAUAACCCUUUUUAAAAACAUUUUGAGGUAUUUUUUUAUUACUCUUUCUCCCAAUUUUCUAAUGUAAAAUACAAGAAAGUGGACUCUUUGUGUAAAUCUAUUAGAAAUAUACUGUUAUGAGUAAAUAAAAAGACUUUGAUACCAGUAACAAUAAAUGAUUGACUGAAAGGGAACCGUUAUUUGUCACACUAGGCGAACAGACCAAAAACUUGAGUUACACAUAAGGGCUUAUAGAAACUUCCGUGUAGACUGUUAACAUUUAUAGAGACAGUUCUUUCAGCUAAAACACUUUAAUUAUUGAUUUAACAUUACAUUUAUUUAAUUUUUGUGGGGAAAUAAUCACAUUUGUUUUAAUUUUUAGACAAAAGAUAUCAAGUUUUGAUGAAAAAGGAAGAAAGGAGGAAAAAUGGACCAAAACAGACCAAAACAGACCUUCAAAUGAACUCUAAAAGGUGCAAUAAAAUUGUU